GUCUGAGCGAGAGGGGCAGUGAGGAUGGGGCGUGGCACAUGCUCUGUGUGGCUCCCUUGUAUUUACAUGCUGCUUGGUACCUUUUGGAGGGCCCCUCGUCUCGUUGGCCCUCACCAGGAGACCCCAUGAAGGAAGUUGGUUUAGGUGUCUGGAGCCUGGAGAGAAUUCUGGGCAGAGAAUUUGGCAGAGAGUUCAAGUCCCUGUUGCAAGUCUGCCUCUUAUCAGUGUCCUUGUGGAUUAUAUGGCCUCCCGAUCCUCAGGUUCAUCUUCAGUAGAACGAGGUUAUAAUGCCUCUCUUGCAGGGAGCUAUCAAGAUCUGGAGAGGGGAGGUGUGGCUACCGGGCAGGGCUGGUGUCUCCAGGCCAGGGCAGCCCCUGUCUAGAAUGGCUUAUGUGGAAGGUGGAGACGUAAUAGCAACACUGGGAAAGACCCCAGCCCAACGGCUGUCCUGGAAGCAAGCACCAAGCUCUGAGGAGGAAGGGGGUGCUGUAACCCACAAAGGGCAGUUCAGGGGCUUGCUCCUCUAUAGUCAGGGGGACAAACCCAGGACUCACUGGGUAGGUGUCUGAGCUGGGGCCUCUGGAAAUGGGUGGUGGAUCAGGCACCCAGGGCAAGGGUGCCCGAUGAGGCAGGUCACAGGACAAGGGCUGUUGGGCCUCUGGGAUUUCAGAUUCUGUUCCAUAUAUUCCCUGAGCACCUGCUCUGGCUAUGGGGGCUUAUGUUCUAGGGGUAGACACAGAUGCUUCCAGUGCAGGUGGGGGGGGAAGGGCAGCAAGGUGACUCUGACCUCAGACCAGGCACCGGAGCCAGCACCCAGAGAAGGCAGUCCUGCUCAUGGUAGACCAGCCUCCUCCAAGAACCUCCCACAUCCAUCUCUAUAUCACACAGGACGCAAGGUGAAUGAUCUGGGGGUCCCAGGAAGAGUUGGUGUCUUUGAACUGGGCUACCCUUGCCUAGAAAUAGUCCUGGCCCCAGCCCUGCCGCAUCACAGUGGGUGGACAGCCAGGCACUGGGGCUGUUCUCUGCCCCCGCCAUCUCUCCCGGGCCCUGGUAUGGCCGAUGGCCCUGGGAAGCCUGAGGGCUCUCCCUUGUGUCCUUUCUCAGGGUGGGUCCCGACGGCCCCGAUGGAUUACCCUCUCACCCCAUUGGGUUGCUGUGGUUUGCUCAUCAGCAGAAAUGACUCCUCACCCACAAUUGCAUCAGUCUUUCCACAGAUGGAGUGAAUCACACUGCAAGAUGUGGUUACAGGCUGUGUCCUGUGUCCCGGUUAGGGGCCUGCUGGGCCCAGCCAGGCUAGGGGUUGGGGCUGACCGUGACUCUGACUUGGCCUUGGGAGAGGAAACUGGAGGCCAGGAGGGGAGCACCAGCGGGGGUGGUGGUGGUGAGGGGAGGUGAGAGAGGUCAUGGAACUUGUCCACACAGGCAGGGCAGGGGACUGGAACCCAUGUCCAGUGACUGUGGCCGUGGCCACACUGGGGAACUGUAUGGCUUCCCCAGCCCCAGCCUGCCCACGACACCGAGAGGAAGAGAAAUGAGGGGAGCAUCUCUGACCGUGCAGUGGGGAAUGUCUGCAGACAGAACCUUGAACUGAAUGUGGGACACCGUAGCAGAACAUCAGGAAGGAAGGGGAGUCUUCCAACAAAGGAAGGUGGCGGGGAGUCUCUGCUCAUCAUGAUGACUUGGGGCUCGGCCUGAGAGAACAGCCACCAUCUUGAAACUUGCCAGUCUCACGCCAGAAGGAAAAUGAGCCCUGGAGGUUCUCACACCUGUCCCAGCUGCAAGUUGACUCCCAUCAGUUCUACUCACAACUCAUUGGCUAGAACAGUCACAUGGCCUCACCAACUAGCUGGAGUCUAACCGGAAGGUGAGGAGCUAGAAGAACGUGGGGAGCGGCGCUCCUGAGUACGACAGUACACCUCCUGCCCGGCAGAGAGCCUGGUAGGAAGAAGCUGAUCAGCAAAUUUUUGAUGAAACAGUUUCCAGCCCAACCACUGUUCCCAGAAUAGCUGUUGCGAAGGCACCAAUGACUUCCAUAUUGCUCCACACGGUGGACACUUUUCAGUCCUUGUCUCCCUUGACCUUGCAUAUAACACCCAGAUUUCAUUCUUAAUACAUGUCUCUCGGCUUCAGGA